CUUGUCCUCAUUUCUAAGUCGCUUUGGAUAAAAGCGUCUGCUAAAUGACUAAAU
rfam:Danio rerio chromosome 3, GRCz11 reference primary assembly.